rnacentral:rRNA from 2 species
ACUGUAAGGUGAUGUAUAGGUGAUGACGCCUGCUCGAUGCUUGAAGGUUAAGAGGAAUGAUUAGCUUCUGCGAAGCUACGAAUCGAAGCCCAAGUAAACGGCUGCCGUAACUAUAACGGUCCUAAGGUAGCGAAAUUCCUUGUCGGGUAAGUUCCGACCCACACGAAAGGCGUAACGAUUUGGGCACUGUCUCAACGAGAGACUCAAUGAAUUCAUAGUACCUGUGAAGAUGCAGGUUACCCGCGACAGGACGGAGAGACCCCGUGGAGCUUUACUGUAGCCUGAUAUUGAAAUUUGGCAC